UACGUAGGGGGCAAGCGUUGUCCGGAAUCAUUGGGCGUAAAGCGCGUGUAGGCGGCUGGCUAAGUCCGCUCUGAAAGCCCGGGGCUCAACCCCGGGAGGCGGGUGGAUACUGGUCAGCUCGAGUCCGGAAGAGGAGUGUGGAAUUCCUGGUGUAGCGGUGAAAUGCGCAGAUAUCAGGAAGAACACCCGUGGCGAAGGCGGUUCUCUGGGACGGUACUGACGCUGAGACGCGAAAGCGUGGGGAGCGAACAGG
rnacentral:rRNA from 1 species